UCCCUAGAUGUUCUGGGCCGCACGCGCGCUACACUGAACAGUUCAACAAGUCUUAACCUUGGCCGAUAGGUCUGGGUAAUCUUUGAACGCUGUUCGUGAUUGGGAUAGACCUUUGCAAUUAUGGGUCUUCAACGAGGAAUUCCUAGUAAACGCAAGUCAUCAGCUUGCAUUGAUUACGUCCCUGCCCUUUGUACACACCGCCCGUCGCACCUACCGAUUGAAUGGUCCGGUGAAAUCUCGGGGCGGCGGCUUGGUCGCUUGCGUCCGACUGCUGAAACUUGAUUAAACCAUAUCAUUUAGAGGAAGGUGAAGUCGUAACA
rnacentral:rRNA from 1 species